ensembl:piRNA 21ur-13317 ncRNA
UCUGAUAGUGAUCCGCUUUCA